rnacentral:rRNA from 1 species
UGAGGAAUAUUGGUCAAUGGGCAGACGCCUGAACCAGCCAAGUCGCGUGAGGGAAGACGGUCCUAUGGAUUGUAAACCUCUUUUGUCAGGGAGCAAGCGCCUCCACGUGUGGGGGCAGGGAGAGUACCUGAAGAAAAAGCAUCGGCUAACUCCGUGCCAGCAGCCGCGGUAAUACGGAGGAUGCGAGCGUUAUCCGGAUUUAUUGGGUUUAAAGGGUGCGUAGGCGGAACGCCAAGUCAGCGGUAAAAUUUCGGGGCUCAACCCCGUCGUGCCGUUGAAACUGGUGUCCUUGAGUGGGCGAGA